rnacentral:rRNA from 1 species
AUUGAACGCUGGCGGCAUGCCUAACACAUGCAAGUCGAACGGCAGCACAGCAGUAGCAAUACUGUGGGUGGCGAGUGGCGGACGGGUGAGUAAUGCAUCGGGACCUACCUGAACGUGGGGGAUAACGUAGGGAAACUUACGCUAAUACCGCAUACGUCCUACGGGAGAAAGCGGGGGACCUUCGGGCCUCGCGCGGUCAGACGGACCGAUGUUCGAUUAGCUAGUUGGUAAGGUAAUGGCUUACCAAGGCGACGAUCGAUAGCUGGUCUGAGAGGAUGAUCAGCCACACUGGAACUGAGACACGGUCCAGACUCCUACGGGAGGCAGCAGUGGGGAAUAUUGGACAAUGGGCGCAAGCCUGAUCCAGCAAUGCCGCGUGUGUGAAGAAGGCCUUCGGGUUGUAAAGCACUUUUAUCAGGAGCGAAAUACUGUCGGUUAAUAACCGGCGGG